CCUACGGGCGGCAGCAGUGGGGAAUAUUGCGCAAUGGGCGAAAGCCUGACGCAGCGACGCCGCGUGAGGGAUGAAGGUCUUCGGAUCGUAAACCUCUGUCAGCAGGGAAGAACGGUCACGGUGCUAAUCAGCAGUGAAUUGACGGUACCUGCAAAGGAAGCACCGGCUAACUCCGUGCCAGCAGCCGCGGUAAUACGGAGGGUGCGAGCGUUAAUCGGAAUUACUGGGCGUAAAGCGCUCGUAGGCGGUACGUCAAGUCAAGGGUGAAAUCCCCGCGCUCAACGUGGGAACUGCCUUUGAAACUGGCAGACUGGAGUGUGUGAGAGGAUAGUGGAAUUCCAGGUGUAGGAGUGAAAUCCGUAGAUAUCUGGAGGAACAUCAGUGGCGAAGGCGACUAUCUGGCACAUAACUGACGCUGAGGAGCGAAAGCGUGGGUAGCAAACAGGAUUAGAUACCCGAGUAGUC
rnacentral:rRNA from 1 species